GACGAACGCUGGCGGCGUGCCUAAUACAUGCAAGUUGAGCGCUGAAGGUUGGUACUUGUACCGACUGGAUGAGCAGCGAACGGGUGAGUAACGCGUGGGGAAUCUGCCUUUGAGCGGGGGACAACAUUUGGAAACGAAUGCUAAUACCGCAUAAAAACUUUAAACACAAGUUUUAAGUUUGAAAGAUGCAAUUGCAUCACUCAAAGAUGAUCCCGCGUUGUAUUAGCUAGUUGGUGAGGUAAAGGCUCACCAAGGCGAUGAUACAUAGCCGACCUGAGAGGGUGAUCGGCCACAUUGGGACUGAGACACGGCCCAAACUCCUACGGGAGGCAGCAGUAGGGAAUCUUCGGCAAUGGACGAAAGUCUGACCGAGCAACGCCGCGUGAGUGAAGAAGGUUUUCGGAUCGUAAAACUCUGUUGGUAGAGAAGAACGUUGGCGAGAGUGGAAAGCUCAUCAAGUGACGGUAACUACCCAGAAAGGGACGGCUAACUACGUG
rnacentral:rRNA from 1 species